CCAAUCGAACCCGGAGAUAGCUGGUUCUCCUCGAAAUAGCUUUAGGGCUAGCCUCAUGAGAGUCUUAUGGAGGUAGAGCACUGAAUUGCCUAGGGGGCGUCAAAGCUUACCAAAGCAUAUCAAACUCCGAAUGCCAUCAAGAUGAUUCAUGGGAGUCAGACCAUACGAGAUAAGUUGGAUGGUCAAAAGGGAAAGAGCCCAGACCUACAGCUAAGGUCCCAAAGUACGUGUUAAGUGGAAAAGGAUGUGGGGAUUCUAAGACAACUAGGACGUUGGCUUAGAAGCAGCCAUUCAUUGAAAGAGUGCGUAAUAGCUCACUAGUCGAGAGUCCCUGCGCCGAAAAUGUCCGGGGCUGAAACACGACACCGAAGCUUAGGAAUGUGUAAACAUUGGUAGAGGAGCAUUGCUAGCGGGAUGAAGCCAUACCGUAAGGAGUGGUGGACUGCCAGGAAGAGAGAAUGCCGGAAUGAGUAGCGAGAUGAAGGUGAGAAUCCUUCAGGCCGAAUAUCUAAGGUUUCCAGAGUAAAGCUGAUCUGCUCUGGGUAAGUCGGGACCUAAGGCGAGGUCGAAAGACGUAGUCGAUGGAUAACAGGUUGAAAUUCCUGUACCGCAUAUAAACAGAACUGUGGGGACACAGACAGGGAAUGGAAUCCGGGAAUGGAUAUCCCGGUGCAAGCGAGGUAGGAGUGCUGUUGGCAAAUCCGCAGCACGAUCUGAAGACGUGACGCGUACCGAACAUAAGUAGGGAAGUCCAGGCCCCUGGCUGUCAAGAAAAGCCGCUAUUGUUUUAUAUGUGCCCGUACCGCAAACCGACACAGGUGGAUGAGGAGAGAAUCCUAAGGCCGACGGGAGAAGCAUUGUUAAGGAACUCGGCAAAAUGACUCCGUAACUUCGGGAGAAGGAGUGCCAUGAGAGUGGCCGCAGAGAAAUGGCCCAAGCAACUGUUUAGCAAAAACACAGGUCUAUGCAAAACCGCAAGGUGAAGUAUAUGGGCUGACGCCUGCCCGGUGCUGGAAGGUUAAGGGGAGAGGUUAGCGCAAGCGAAGCUUUGAACUUAAGCCCCAGUAAACGGCGGCCGUAACUAUAACGGUCCUAAGGUAGCGAAAUUCCUUGUCGGGUAAGUUCCGACCCGCACGAAAGGCGUAAUGAUUUGGGCACUGUCUCAACGAUACACCCGGUGAAAUUGAAAUACCAGUGAAGAUGCUGGUUACCUGCGCCAGGACGGAAAGACCCCAUGGAGCUUUACUCCAGUUUGAUACUGGGAUUCGGCAUGGUAUGUACAGGAUAGGUGGGAGACUGAGAAGGUAUGACGUCAGUUGUACCGGAGUCGCUGUUGGGAUACCACCCUUACCAUGUUGGAUUUCUAACCUGUGGCCGUAAGCCGGUCAGGGGACAAUGUCAGGCGGGGAGUUUGACUGGGGCGGUCGCCUCCGAAAGGGUAUCGGAGGCGCUCAAAGGUUCCCUCAGAAUGGUUGGAAACCAUUCGAAGAGUGCAAAGGCAGAAGGGAGCUUGACUGCGACACCGACGG
rnacentral:rRNA from 1 species